AACGAACGCUGGCGGCAUGCCUAACACAUGCAAGUCGAACGAGGCCUUCGGGCUUAGUGGCGCACGGGUGCGUAACGCGUGGGAAUCUGCCCUUGGGUUCGGAAUAACAGUUAGAAAUGACUGCUAAUACCGGAUGAUGUCUUCGGACCAAAGAUUUAUCGCCCAGGGAUGAGCCCGCGUAGGAUUAGGUAGUUGGUGGGGUAAAGGCCUACCAAGCCGACGAUCCUUAGCUGGUCUGAGAGGAUGAUCAGCCACACUGGGACUGAGACACGGCCCAGACUCCUACGGGAGGCAGCAGUGGGGAAUAUUGGACAAUGGGCGCAAGCCUGAUCCAGCAAUGCCGCGUGAGUGAUGAAGGCCUUAGGGUUGUAAAGCUCUUUUACCCGGGAUGAUAAUGACAGUACCGGGAGAAUAAGCCCCGGCUAACUCCGUG
rnacentral:rRNA from 1 species